CGCUACCAAGACGCUCCCAUGGUUUACUUCAGGUACUUUAAAAGGUUAGUGGAAAGAAGACAUAAAAAUGACCAGAUUUUUGGCUUUUGCACCGCGCUCUUAACGAGCGCUUGAUGGCAGCGGUGGAACAGAUUAUGGAAAUGGUCGGCGGCACGGUGUUGGAGUACGAAGAGGAGACGGUUAGGGCACGGAAAGAAAACGAAAUUCUGAGACGGAGGUUACGAUGGAUGGAGGGUGAAAAUCCGACUGAUUGGCCAGGUACCUAGACUACAUGUUUUGGUAAAUGGUGAGGCAGAGGUCUCUGGGCUUGUGCAGCAACCUGUGACCCUAGCAGUUGAUCCAGCACUGGAGCCCUUGGCCAUCAAAACAGAGGCCAUCAACACCUGUGACUCACGGUCAUUUACACCUGACAGCAGCCUUGUGGCACCUGCUCAUACCACCGACCUGGAAGUGGUUGAUCCCGGGAUGAACGCACCCACUGAUGCCGGCCUCACUGACAAAGCGUUGUGGGACUCUGCUCACAGCUACGUGGACUUUGACUCCAUCAUGGUAAGGGGCCGGAGCUAGAAGAUGCCAUUUGCUUGCCCAGACUGUGGUAGUGUUCAGGAGAGAAAACAGACUGAUAACACACAUGCACCUCCAUGCUGCUGAGAGGCCCUUCAGUCAGCAGUCACAAAGUGUGUAUCCUCAACAACAAGAAGCACAGGAGGAAACUCCAAGCAGAUGAGUACAAUGGAGGAGACCGCUGAAAAUGGUGAAGUUCACGUACUAAAGAAAAUCUUAUCCUGCCCAUAUUGUGAUAAGGUUUUUGUUCAUAAAGGGUGGUUGGGCCAACAUAUUCGGAGACAUAAAUCUAAGACCCCACCAAAGAGUGUGAUUUGUCCAGAUAACAUCUUACCUGGUUCUGCUCGGAGAAGCAGUACCAUAGUUUCCUAGGUUGGUUUCCUGUUUAUUCCAGGCACUGUACACCCUGUACACCCUUCAUGCGUAGGUAAUCUGCACAACACAGACAACAAAAGAUGUUGUAUACAUGUGACUUAUUUCCCUUCCCUAUAUUUUAAAAGUUACUUUGCAGUUUUACAACUGACACACAUUCAGGAAUCUAUUAGUAAAAAUUGAAUAUAGAAUACAUUCUUGUUUUCAUUGGUGUAUGAACACCUGUAACCAUAAAUCAUUGCUACCUUAGAAUGAGCCCUUAUAGGAGUAGGUCCUCUACCAACAGAGGGUGCCAUAUUGCAACACCAUGUUUCUACAGUAGUCCAAAAUGAACAAAUAAAACACUGGCUCUAGAGAUUGCAUUUUGACAUUGUAUACGCAGUUUGAAUUUGGUGGAUCUAUAGCACUAGUUGAAAGAAAGAAAAAGAAAGAAAGAAAGCAGAAGAAGAAUUUGUGGUUUCUGCUGGUGCUAGCUAACCAUUUUGUGUUAAGUUUGAGAUCCCAAAUUUUGAGCAGUAGAGGAUCAUAUUUAUGAUUUAGCACAAAAAAAAGCAAGGUAUGAUGAAUCCAUGUUGCCAAACAAGCACAGACAUGAGGCAAAAUAAAAUCUGUACAGGCAACAGCAGAAAACAAGGAUAAACAAUGGGGUGGCUUUUCCAAGACUGAAACUGUUGAUGAGGAACAAAUGUUUUCAGAGUGAUGCCAAAAUUGUCUGAUUUCUGUUGGACAUGUAAUUUACCAUACCAAUUUGUUGUUUGUAACAUGAACAUGGCCAAGGGCAUAGUGAUCAACACAAGUAA